ACGCUGGCGGCGUGCCUAAUACAUGCAAGUAGAACGCUGAAGAGAGGAGCUUGCUCUUCUUGGAUGAGUUGCGAACGGGUGAGUAACGCGUAGGUAACCUGCCUUGUAGCGGGGGAUAACUAUUGGAAACGAUAGCUAAUACCGCAUAACAAUGGAUGACCCAUGUCAUUUAUUUGAAAGGGGCAAAUGCUCCACUACAAGAUGGACCUGCGUUGUAUUAGCUAGUAGGUGAGGUAACGGCUCACCUAGGCGACGAUACAUAGCCGACCUGAGAGGGUGAUCGGCCACACUGGGACUGAGACACGGCCCAGACUCCUACGGGAGGCAGCAGUAGGGAAUCUUCGGCAAUGGGGGCAACCCUGACCGAGCAACGCCGCGUGAGUGAAGAAGGUUUUCGGAUCGUAAAGCUCUGUUGUAAGUCAAGAACGAGUGUGAGAGUGGAAAGUUCACACUGUGACGGUAGCUUACCAGAAAGGGACGGCUAACUACGUGCCAGCAGCCGCGGUAAUACGUAGGUCCCGAGCGUUGUCCGGAUUUAUUGGGCGUAAAGCGAGCGCAGGCGGUUUGAUAAGUCUGAAGUUAAAGGCUGUGGCUCAACCAUAGUUCGCUUUGGAAACUGUCAAACUUGAGUGCAGAAGGGGAGAGUGGAAUUCCAUGUGUAGCGGUGAAAUGCGUAGAUAUAUGGAGGAACACCGGUGGCGAAAGCGGCUCUCUGGUCUGUAACUGACGCUGAGGCUCGAAAGCGUGGGGAGCGAACAGGAUUAGAUACCCUGGUAGUCCACGCCGUAAACGAUGAGUGCUAGGUGUUGGAUCCUUUCCGGGAUUCAGUGCCGCAGCUAACGCAUUAAGCACUCCGCCUGGGGAGUACGACCGCAAGGUUGAAACUCAAAGGAAUUGACGGGGGCCCGCA
rnacentral:rRNA from 1 species